rnacentral:rRNA from 1 species
UACGUAGGGGGCGAGCGUUGUCCGGAAUCAUUGGGCGUAAAGAGCGUGUAGGCGGCCCGAUAAGUCCGCUGUGAAAGUCCAGGGCUCAACCUUGGGAUGCCGGUGGAUACUGUCGGGCUCGAGUCCGGAAGAGGAGUGUGGAAUUCCUGGUGUAGCGGUGAAAUGCGCAGAUAUCAGGAGGAACACCAAUGGCGAAGGCAGCACUCUGGGACGUGACUGACGCUGAGACGCGAAAGCGUGGGGAGCAAACAGG